rnacentral:rRNA from 1 species
AUUGAACGCUGGCGGCAGGCCUAACACAUGCAAGUCGCACGAGUGGCGUACGGGUGAGUAAUGUCUGGGAAACUGCCCGAUGGAGGGGGAUAACUACUGGAAACGGUAGCUAAUACCGCAUACCAUCAGAUGUGCCCAGAUGGGAUUAGCUAGUUGGUGGGGUAACGGCUCACCAAGUCGACGAUCCCUAGCUGGUCUGAGAGGAUGACCAGCCACACUGGAACUGAGACACGGUCCAGACUCAGACGGGAGGCAGCAGUGGGGAAUAUUGAACAAGGGGCGCAAGCCUGAUGCAGCCAUGCCGCGGGUAUGAAGAAGGCCUUCGGGUUGUAAAGUACUUUCAGCGAGGAGGCGUUACCCGCAGAAGAAGCACCGGCUAACUCCGUGCCAGCAGCCGCGGUAAUAC